GCUUACACAUGCAAGUCGAACGGCAGCAUGUCCUAGCUUGCUAGGAUGAUGGCGAGUGGCGAACGGGUGAGUAACGCGUGGGGAUCUGCCUUAAAGUGGGGGACAACCCGGGGAAACUCGGGCUAAUACCGCAUAUGUCUUACGAGACAAAGUGUGCCUCUGCUUGCAUGCACAUGCUUUAAGAGGAACCUGCGUCCGAUUAGCUUGUUGGUGGGGUAAAGGCCUACCAAGGCGACGAUCGGUAGCUGGUCUGAGAGGACGAACAGCCACACUGGGACUGAGACACGGCCCAGACUCCUACGGGAGGCAGCAGUGGGGAACAUUGGACAAUGGGGGCAACCCUGAUCCAGCAAUGCCGCGUGUGUGAAGAAGGCCUGCGGGUUGUAAAGCACUUUCGGCAGGGAGGAAAAGCCAAGGUUUAAUAAACCUUGGUCUUGACGUUACCUGCAAAAGAAGCACCGGCUAACUCUGUGCCAGCAGCCGCGGUAAUACAGAGGGUGCAAGCGUUAAUCGGAAUUACUGGGCGUAAAGCGUACGUAGGUGGGUAAAUUAGUCAGCUGUGAAAUUCCCGGGCUUAACCUGGGAAGGUCAGCUGAUACUGUUUACCUAGAGUACAGUAGAGGGAAGUGGAACUUCCGGUGUAGCGGUGAAAUGCGUAGAUAUCGGAAGGAACACCAGUGGCGAAGGCGUCUUCCUGGACUGAUACUGACACUGAGGUACGAAAGCGUGGG
rnacentral:rRNA from 1 species